rnacentral:rRNA from 1 species
UACGAAGGGGGCUAGCGUUGCUCGGAAUCACUGGGCGUAAAGCGCACGUAGGCGGAUCUUUAAGUCAGGGGUGAAAUCCCGGAGCUCAACUCCGGAACUGCCUUUGAUACUGAAGAUCUUGAGUUCGGGAGAGGUGAGUGGAACUGCGAGUGUAGAGGUGAAAUUCGUAGAUAUUCGCAAGAACACCAGUGGCGAAGGCGGCUCACUGGCCCGGUUCUGACGCUGAGGCGCGAAAGCGUGGGGAGCAAACAGG